rnacentral:rRNA from 1 species
CCCUUAGAUGUCCUGGGCCGCACGCGCGUUACACUGAUGCAUUCAACGAGCUUAUAACCUUGGCCGAGAGGCCUGGGCAAUCUUGUUAACGUGCAUCGUGAUAGGGAUAGAUUAUUGAAAUUAUUAAUCUUGAACGAGGAAUUCCUAGUAAACGCAGAUCAUCAAUCUGCAUUGAUUACGUCCCUGCCCUUUGUACACACCGCCCGUCGCACCUACCGAUUGAAUGGUCCGGUGAAGCGUUUGGACUAUGGUUUUCUGACGGUUCGCCAUUGGAUUACCGUGGGAAAUUCGUUAAACCUUAUCAUUUAGAGGAAGGAGAAGUCGUAACA